rnacentral:rRNA from 1 species
AGCGAACGCUGGCGGCAGGCCUAACACAUGCAAGUCGAACGGACCCUUCGGGGUUAGUGGCGGACGGGUGAGUAACACGUGGGAGCGUGCCUUUAGGUUCGGAAUAGCUCCUGGAAACGGGUGGUAAUGCCGAAUGUGCCCUUCGGGGGAAAGAUUUAUCGCCUUUAGAGCGGCCCGCGUCUGACUAGCUAGUUGGUGAGGUAAAGGCUCACCAAGGCGACGAUCAGUAGCUGGUCUGAGAGGAUGACCAGCCACAUUGGGACUGAGACACGGCCCAAACUCCUACGGGAGGCAGCAGUGGGGAAUCUUGCGCAAUGGGCGAAAGCCUGACGCAGCCAUGCCGCGUGGAUGAUGAAGGUCUUAGGAUUGUAAAAUCCUUUCACCGGUGAAGAUAAUGACUGUAGCCGGAGAAGAAGCCCCGGCUAACUUCGUGCCAGCCGCCGCGGUAAUAC